AACGAACGCUGGCGGCAGGCCUAACACAUGCAAGUCGAACGCUCGUAGCAAUACGGGAGUGGCAGACGGGUGAGUAACACGUGGGAACCUACCCUUUGGUUCGGAAUAGCCCAGGGAAACUUGGGGUAAUACCGGAUAAGCCCUUCGGGGAAGGAUUAUCGCCGAAGGAUGGGCCCGCGUCGGAUUAGCUAGUUGGUGGGGUAACGGCCGUACCAAGGCGACGAUCCGUAGCUGGUCUGAGAGGAUGAUCAGCCACACUGGGACUGAGACACGGCCCA
rnacentral:rRNA from 1 species